UACGGAGGGAGCUAGCGUUGUUCGGAAAUACUGGGCGUAAAGCGCACGUAGGCGGCGCAGCAAGUCAGGGGUGAAAUCCCGGGGCUCAACCCCGGAACUGCCCUUGAAACUGCAGUGCUAGAAUCUUGGAGAGGCGAGUGGAAUUCCGAAGUGUAGAGGUGAAAUUCGUAGAUAUUCGGAAAGAACACCAGUGGCGAAGGCGACUCGCUGGACAAGUAUUGACGCUGAGGUGCGAAAGCGUGGGGAGCAAACAGG
rnacentral:rRNA from 1 species